rnacentral:rRNA from 1 species
AUGAACGCUGGCGGCGUGCCUAAUACAUGCAAGUCGAGCGAACGGACGAGAAGCUUGCUUCUCUGAUGUUAGCGGCGGACGGGUGAGUAACACGUGGAUAACCUACCUAUAAGACUGGGAUAACUUCGGGAAACCGGAGCUAAUACCGGAUGAUAUUUUGAACCGCAUGGUUCAAAAGUGAAAGACGGUCUUGCUGUCACUUAUAGAUGGAUCCGCGCUGCAUUAGCUAGUUGGUAAGGUAACGGCUUACCAAGGCAACGAUGCAUAGCCGACCUGAGAGGGUGAUCGGCCACACUGGAACUGAGACACGGUCCAGACUCCUACGGGAGGCAGCAGUAGGGAAUCUUACGCAAUGGGCGAAAGCCUGACGGAGCAACGCCGCGUGAGUGAUGAAGGUCUUCGGAUCGUAAAACUCUGUUAUUAGGGAAGAACAUAUGUGUAAGUAACUGUGCACAUCUUGACGGUACCUAAUCAGAAAGCCACGGCUAACUACGUG